UUUCUACUCCCUCCGUCCGAAAAUACUUGUCAUCAAAAUGGAUAAAAAGAGAUGUAUCUAAAACUAAAAUACGUCUAGAUACAUUUCCUUUUAUCCAUUUUGAUGACAAGUAUUUCUGGACGGAGGGAGUAUUUG
rfam:Triticum aestivum genome assembly, contig: Triticum_aestivum_CS42_TGACv1_scaffold_559988_7AL